UGCCUUAGAGGAACCUGUUUAUAAUAUUAUUAUACUCAGGUGGCACAGAAUCGGAGGCCCCGACUGUUUACUAAAAACACAAUUCAGAGCAAUGAUUAAUAUCAUAGUAUUCUGGAUGAAAUUUGCUCAAUGCCAUUAAUACAAGAGAGGUGAUAGGAUAACUGUUACUAAUCGAAAUUCUGGUCAAUAGCGGUCUUAACUAUGAGGAUCAAAUAAAACCUAAAGGGUUCUCUUUAAACUUGAUGAUAUGCUGGAACAUCCUAAAGCUUUAAGUACUUAUAGUCAUCAGUAGGCUACUUGUCUACUAAUUAAUAAGUGAAAAUCUUAAAGAUACAGACUUUAAUUUAAAAUGGACAAUCAGCAGGGAAUAUUAAGCUAUAUAUUAAUAACAAAAAUUAACUAAAACGGGCAACUAGAAUUUAUGUAUUUUCGGGAUUAAUAUAUGUUAGUAGCCCUCAGAGACUAGAUAAUCAAGCAGAUUAAAGGAUACUCGACGGGUAUCAUCUGAAGAUAUAGUCCAACUCUAUUAGAAAUUUUAGAGACAUUUGCCUAAGGUAGCAAAAUAAAUUGGCCAUUAAAUGUGGUCGGGUAUCAAUAGUGUAACGAUGGUCUCACUGUCUCUACAACUUGCUCAGUGAAAUUGAAUUACCCGUGCAGAUGCGGGUUACC
rnacentral:rRNA from 1 species